AACGAACGCUGGCGGCAUGCCUAACACAUGCAAGUCGAACGAGACCUUCGGGUCUAGUGGCGUGCGGGUGCGUAACGCGUGGGAACCUGCCCUUAGGUUCGGAAUAACUCCCCGAAAGGGGUGCUAAUACCGGAUAAUGUCUUCGGACCAAAGAUUUAUCGCCUUUGGAUGGGCCCGCGUUGGAUUAGCUAGUUGGUAGGGUAAAAGCCUACCAAGGCGACGAUCCAUAGCUGGUCUGAGAGGAUGAUCAGCCACACUGGGACUGAGACACGGCCCAGACUCCUACGGGAGGCAGCAGUGGGGAAUAUUGGACAAUGGGCGAAAGCCUGAUCCAGCAAUGCCGCGUGAGUGAUGAAGGCCUUAGGGUUGUAAAGCUCUUUUACCCGGGAUGAUAAUGACAGUACCGGGAGAAUAAGCGCCGGCUAACUCCGUG
rnacentral:rRNA from 1 species